GAUGAACGCUAGCGAUAGGCCUAACACAUGCAAGUCGAGGGGCAUCACAUGAAGUAGCAAUACGGAUGGUGGCGACCGGCGCACGGGUGAGUAACACGUAUGCAACCUGCCUUCAACAAGGGGAUAACCCGUUGAAAGACGGACUAAUACCCUAUAACACAGGGGUCCCGCAUGGGGAAUAUUUGUUAAAGGACAACCGGUUGAAGAUGGGCAUGCGUUCCAUUAGCUAGUUGGCGGGGUAACGGCCCACCAAGGCAACGAUGGAUAGGGGAACUGAGAGGUUUAUCCCCCACACUGGUACUGAGACACGGACCAGACUCCUACGGGAGGCAGCAGUGAGGAAUAUUGGUCAAUGGACGCAAGUCUGAACCAGCCACGUCGCGUGAAGGAAGACGGCCCUACGGGUUGUAAACUUCUUUUAUACGGGAAUAAAGUGCCCCACGCGUGGGGUUUUGCAUGUACCGUAUGAUAAGGAUCGGCUAACUACCGUGCCAGCAGCC
rnacentral:rRNA from 1 species